GUUAGCUCACAGAUCCAGACCAAAGCAACAGCACCACAACACUGACUCAAUAGCUUUUGUUUCACACUCCAGUACUCUUAAGUGGUUUGCAAACUGCCAAUAAACCAAACCGGUUCAAGAACCAUUCUUGUGCUUUUCUGGUGCUUAACUGGUUCUUCUCUGGUCCGCCCAAUGCUGCUCUUCUGAGAGCAACCGCUCUGACGGCUCUCUCUAGUCUCUACUGGGAAACAGCUAAAAGUCCUUCUGGAGGCUUUGCAUUUGAAUUCCUAUGACUGGUUGCGGACUUGAAGGGAACGCCUUCCUGACAUCCAGGAAAAAGUUUUAUUGGACAGAGGCAGUAGAUAUCUACUGGAAACAGUAGAGAGGGAGGAGAUGAUAUGCAGCAAAAGGCCCAGCCGGAUGGUUGCUGCUCCGUGUGGAACGUGUU